GUUUACAAUCUUUCUGCGCAGAAGGUGAGCACAGCUGAUUCUUGUGUCUCGUAGAUAUUCCACAGUAAGCAGCCGAUCAGCUGAUCACAACCUUACCACGCUGAUACAACAUGCCUAGUCAGGGACCUCACCAGGGCGGUUUUGUCUACAACAAUGACCACAGGGCUCCAUGGCAACAAGGGGUGCCAAUGAUGGACGACCGUUUCCCUGGGCAACAGAUGCCGAUGGUACCCCCGCAAUUUCAGCAAAACGCACAUAUACCCGGUUACAGAGCAUCCAACUGGGGACCAAACAACUUUCACCACCCUCCACCAUUUAAUAACUACCAGGCUCGCUUCUGGCCCAGGAACCAUAACAACCAUAACAAUGCCGGCUCGUCCCGUUCGUCCAGCAGUUCCCCGAGGAGCUCGUCCUCUUCCCGUCGGGGAGACAACGAGUCUGAUAUGUGCUUCAUCUGCAAGGACCUCCUGCAGAACUGUGAACAACUCGGUAUUCACAUGUGUGACGGGGGCGUAAGUGUCAAGACCAGCAAAGGGGAACAUGCUUGUGAGAUAAAUGCCAGACUAGAGAAAGUUCUAGAAGAAAUUAAAGCUAGUCUGAAGGACAAGCAUGAUAGUCUCACCGAGGCAAUUGAGGAACACGUGACCACGAGAAUUGGUGAGAUAGAGACUAUCCAUCAACACGCCGUAGAUAAGAAGGCCACGCUGAUCAACCUUAAACAGCAGCUGGAGGCAAGAACGGCCGAACUGGAGAAACUGGAAAAGGAGCUUAGAGAAAAGGAGAACAAACUUGAACAGGAAAAAGACAAGUUUGACAAGGACAUGCACAAGGAAAAGGAGGAGAUUUGUCGCCAAUGGCAACAAUUGAGGGAUGAACUUGCCCGUAUGGAAGAAAUGCAUGAUGUUCAAAAGGUAUAUCACGUCUCAAAGAGCCAGAUUUUCCGGAAAUGUGAUAAUGUCCACUUGUGGGAAUAUGAUUUGAAUAUGAAGGAAAUAAAGCCGUAUCGCGUUAGAAAUGUAUGGUCAUUUGAUAUGUAUAAUUCGAGUGAAACGGUAAGUAGGAGAUUUGAAAUGCUGUUGUCGUUCAGGUCAGUAUCUGUACAUUAGAGUUAGUCAUAUGAUGUCUCCAACAUCACAGCACUUCAUCUGAUGUCGCUUUGGCAAAUUUGCAAAUUGUGACAAGCUAUCAACGCCUGACAUUUUAAAGAUUUCCACCGAUGACUGCUCGAAAGAUUUCAAUUAGGAAGAUCAAACAAUUAAAAUAUAUGCAAUGCGUGUAUUGAAAGUCUCAAAACUUAUAGUCUUCGACGCUCUAGUACGACAUCUAUUUAAGGUAGGUACAAAGCGAGAAUAAAACACGGAUUACUUUCAAUUUUAAGGGUAAGUACUGAGAUGUUGUGUGGCGGCUUACUAAUGUAUGUGUGGGGGAGUUUACGUGUAUUGAUCCCUCCCAAGGACCCUUACAACACUCCAGUUCACUGAGCAAACUGUAUAUAAAUCAUAAUUUGACUUCCAGAGUUCAAAGACCACUAAACCUUUGAACAGCUAGUGGUAAGGCCAUUGAAUUCAUGCUAUUGUCUUACAAUGGAGUAUCACAUAACACUGACAAAUAUAAACGAUCGAAUGGUUGACUUCACGACAAAUUCCGGAGAUUUAAGUAACAGAAUGCUUCUUUUUCGUUGAGUGAUCUAUCCCUUCGGAAUACUGUGAAAAUAGAUUGGAAGUUGUGACAUAAGAGACAGUUUGUUUGUGUCCGUAUAGAGCGUCUGUUUAACAGUAUGUGUUGAUAAAGUUACGUGAUAGUUGCCUGGAACAUGAUCGACGAUUACCCAGGAACACGUUACUUGUUUUUAUUUAAACAGAAGUAGAUGAUUCGCAAACGAAAUAUCACGGAAUAAUUAACAAGAAAGAAUUCCCUGUUAAUCAGCAAAUUAAGAAUAUUUAAACAUUUCUUGCUUUGCAAAAAUCGGUAAGUAUAUCAUCUUUACAUCGACGUAAGAAAACAUACAAUGAACAUGGUAUUUUUUAAUAUAAUUAUCUGAUCCAUAAUGUUAGACAAAUAUCAUUAAAAUUCAUAGUAAGCAAUCGUUUUCAAAAGUGUAUAUAUUUCCAGUAUAUAAAUAAUAAACACAUUGAUUUUAUUUAAAGCUGCACCCAGAUCGAUAUCUACAACAUUUGUGUUCGAUUCGAAAACAAUGGUAAAUGUUUGUGAACGAUAUAAUUAGCAUUGCUAACUCUUGGCGAUAACAGUAAUGGUCAUAGGAUGUAAGCGUUCCUGUGAUCCCUGUAGAGUCGUGGUCAGGGGAUUGUAAUGGAAACGGCGUACUUUCACAUAAAGGUUUUGGAUGAAAAUUUUGGUCUUUUUUUUCAAAAAAUAUUCUGUUAUUACAAAAGAUUAUUCUUUUAUCUAGCUACACUACACUACACGGCUAGUAUCUGUACGUCUCCAAUCCUUCUCUCCCGCCAUGCAGCUUUAAAUACCGUGAGGCCGCCUUGCGUCGCCUAGGUUGUCCACGCUAGAUGACAUGUUGUAGUUUUUCCCACUGUAUGACUAUGUAGUUAAUCUGUUUGCCCACUAUCGGGUGUUUGUUUCAGGCGAGGGUUUUAUUAUAUACUAUCUACCCACUCCGAUGACGUCCCACGGUCCCACACGUACUUGCUAGUUGCCCGGUAACACGACAUUCGGGGCUCUAAGAUUUUAAAUGAAGAGAAAGCAGUUUUUUCACAACACGACCUUCCUUGAUAGGCCAUCGAAUGUUUUCUACAAUAGACAUUGUGUUUUGAUAGCACUCAUGUUUCCACCUGCUUGAGUUAAUGACGAGAUAGGUGAGCUCUCACCUAGGUUUGGGAUGAUGUUGAACCCUAGUUACUGGUGACCUGGGUACACUGCA
rnacentral:misc_RNA from 1 species